rnacentral:rRNA from 1 species
GACGAGCUUCACAAACGUUAUUCGGAAUUACUGGGCUUAAAGGGUGCGUAGGCGGCGUAGAAAGUUGGGUGUGAAAUCCCUCAGCUUAACUGAGGAAGGGCGCCCAAAACUACUAUGCUCGAGGGAGAUAGAGGAGUGCGGAACUUAGGGUGGAGCGGUGAAAUGCGUUGAUAUCCUAGGGAACACCGGUGGCGAAAGCGGCACUCUGGAUCUCUUCUGACGCUGAGGCACGAAAGCUAGGGUAGCAAAGCGGG